rnacentral:rRNA from 2 species
AAGUCGUAACAAGGUUUCCGUAGGUGAACNUGCGGAAGGAUCAUUA